GGAUGUGAGGGCGAUCUGGCUGCGACAUCUGUCACCCCAUUGAUCGCCAGGGUUGAUUCGGCUGAUCUGGCUGGCUAGGCGGGUGUCCCCUUCCUCCCUCACCGCUCCAUGUGCGUCCCUCCCGAAGCUGCGCGCUCGGUCGAAGAGGACGACCAUCCCCGAUAGAGGAGGACCGUUCUUCGGUCAAGGGUAUACGAGUAGCUGCGCUCCCCUGCUAGAACCUCCAGACAUUGCUGAGAGAAGAAAGCAGGGACACUAGGAAGGAGCUAGUGAA
rnacentral:snRNA from 1 species